rnacentral:rRNA from 1 species
AGCGAACGCUGGCGGCAGGCCUAACACAUGCAAGUCGAACGAAGUCUUCGGACUUAGUGGCGGACGGGUGAGUAACACGUGGGAACGUGCCCUUUGGUACGGAAUAACUCAGGGAAACUUGAGCUAAUACCGUAUGUGCCCUUCGGGGGAAAGAUUUAUCGCCAUUGGAGCGGCCCGCGUCUGAUUAGCUAGUUGGUGAGGUAAAGGCUCACCAAGGCGACGAUCAGUAGCUGGUCUGAGAGGAUGAUCAGCCACAUUGGGACUGAGACACGGCCCAAACUCCUACGGGAGGCAGCAGUGGGGAAUCUUGCGCAAUGGGCGAAAGCCUGAAGCAGCCAUGCCGCGUGAAUGAUGAAGGUCUUAGGAUUGUAAAAUUCUUUCACCGGGGACGAUAAUGACGGUACCCGGAGAAGAAGCCCCGGCUAACUUCGUGCCAGCCGCCGCGGUAA